GUAGGUACAACACAACAUAAAGGUCGUUGGACGUAACUAUUUUUAUAGAAAUAUAUUUCCCAAGAUCGGCCGUAAAGCUUGUAUUUUCUCAUAUAAAAAUUAUAUUUCACGAAAUACAAACCAAAAAAUCAAGGUGCCUUAUUAAGUAAUUUAAUCGCUUAAUGCACAUUCUUCGUCGUUAUGUGUACCUUAAUCAUAAAAUAAAUUUAGAACAAAAGUCACAACUUUGGUAUUUUUAGAUAGAAUAUAGUCAACGUCAUUUUUUAGUAGUUUGCAUUUAAAUCUUGCGUUGCAAUAGCCAAUAAUUUUUCUUACUAGAUUAUAGGUUACAGAUUUUUUAAAUCUAUACUUACAUACAAUUAUUCUAUUUUAUUCACAAAAUAAGUAUAAUACUUUCUGUGGGACCUGCGUUCAACUUACCUAGAUUCUCCUGGUUAAAAUUGUACCUUUACUUACCAGAAAAACCCGAAUCACUCUAAUAAUAUCAUGUUUAGCAGGUUCUUAAACUUUUUACAAAAUAAGAUUUUAAGUUAACUUUAAAACGUUUGGCUGUUAUAAUGAUUUCAUUGAUAAAUAAUUUGUUUAAUUGGCAUUUUGGUAAGAAAUUAUUUAAUUGGCAAUUGCAUGCGUUAUACCUGAAUUAUUUCACUUAAACAAUAAUUGACACAAUUGAAACUAUACCUACCAACAAUAUUGAUUUUUUUAUUCUUUAUUUUUCACAACGAUUAUAUUUGUGAUUCAUCACUAAGUGAAAUCAUUUUAAAAGAUGUUUAGGUACAUACCUAAUGCUACUUUUAUUAUUAACUAUUUAGAUCUAAGUUAUUAUGAUACGUCACUUGGAGGUUCAAAAUAGUUGGCUUUUUAGAUUAAGUAAGUAAAUUUUGAAACUUCGACUGGCUUAUCGUAUUAAAUUAUGUUUAAGUGUAUUCAAUAAACAAAACGACUUGUUAUCCUAUCUCCUUCAAGUACGAAGUUAAAUUUUCUAAUUAAUUUUGUAAUAGAUAACGUAACUCUAAUAAGACGUCUAUUUUCGGGAUGAGAUACGGGGCUUAUUACAUUUAUUAGGACAUCAGGACAUCUUGGCUUUUAAAAUAGGUAAUUAGUUACAUAAAAUGAAGAAAACAGAUUCAUUCACUAGCGGUGUCGCAGACACACACUUUUACUACCACUUUUAUAAGUUACGCUGAUGUACCUGCGCAGAAGCCUUAUUUUUGAAUGGCACGACAAUAUCUCAUCUCAGCAAAUCAUAGCGCGAGUCCGUCCGCUAUUGGUUCGCCUACGCGCCAUGUUUUGUACGCGCGGUAUGAGCGAGAUAGCAUGAGUCUCUAUUGUUCUUGUGUUUAAAACCUUAACGUCAAGCAAUAAGGUCUGUAUUUCAUUGAUGUACAUUCUGUUUUAGUCAGCGUUAGGUUGCGUUUUUUUGCGCAAAAGAAUUUUGCUGAUGUGACUUAUAAAAGUGGAAGUAGAUAAUCUACCUACCAAUGUAAUAUCGUUCAUCGGUGGCACCCGGGAUGGUAGGUGUAAAAAGCCCCGCACUCAUUAAUUUUUUUAAAUUGUAUUCCAAAUAUACUUUAGAUUUAACUAGUUGUUUGAUUCCUUGUAAUUUGAUAGGAAACUUUUUAUCACACGUCAUUAUUAUUAUAAGUUUUGAGUCUUGAUAUUGUAAUUCUUACGAAAUAAACGAAAUGAUUUUA